rnacentral:antisense_RNA from 2 species
CUUCAGCGAUCCCAGCCACAGCGGCUGGUCGCGGUCCUGCCCAUAGGUGUUGAUCAGCGCCUGCGCCUC